AGAACUUUCCAGAGAUGGAUUGGUGCCUUCGGGAACUCUGAGACAGGUGCUGCAUGGCUGUCGUCAGCUCGUGUUGUGAAAUGUUGGUUAAGUCCCGCAACGAGCGCAACCCUUAUCCUUUGUUGCCAGCGAUUCGGUCGGGAACUCAAAGGAGACUGCCAGUGAUAAACUGGAGGAAGGUGGGGAUGACGUCAAGUCAUCAUGGCCCUUACGAGUAGGGCUACACACGUGCUACAAUGGCGCAUACAAAGAGAAGCGACCUCGCGAGAGCAAGCGGACCUCAUAAAGUGCGUCGUAGUCCGGAUUGGAGUCUGCAACUCGACUCCAUGAAGUCGGAAUCGCUAGUAAUCGUAGAUCAGAAUGCUACGGUGAAUACGUUCCCGGGCCUUGUACACACCGCCCGUCACACCAUGGGAGUGGGUUGCAAAAGAAGUAGGUAGCUUAACCUUCGGGAGGGCGCUUACCACUUUGUGAUUCAUGACUGGGGUGAAGUCGUAACAAGGUAAGCGUAGUGCU
rnacentral:rRNA from 1 species